rnacentral:rRNA from 1 species
GACGAACGCUGGCGGCGCGCUUAACACAUGCAAGUCGAACGGAAAGGCCUGCUUUUCCUUGUGGAUUGCGGGUACUCGAGUGGCGAACGGGUGAGUAACACGUGAGUGAUCUGCCCCCAACUUGGGUAUAAGCCUGGGAAACUGGGGCUAAUUCCCGAUAGGACCGCAGGGUGGUGUCUGUGGUGGAGAACGAUUUUCUAGUGGUUGGGGAUGAGCUGUCGGCGUGUCAGGUUGUUGUUGGGGUAAUGGCCUACCAAGGCGGCGACGGGUAGACGGCCUGGGAUAGUGGACGGCCACAUUGGGACUGGGAUACGGCCCAGACUCCUACGGGAGGCAGCAGUGGGGAAUAAUGCGCAAUGGGCGGAAGCCUGAUGCAGCGACGCCGCGUGGGGGAUGACGGCCUUCGGGUUGUAAACUCCUUGCGACCGCGAGGAAGCCACCUGGUUGGAAGGGUGGUGACGGUAGUGGUAGAAGAAGCACCGGCUAACUACGUG